rnacentral:lncRNA from 1 species
ACAAUGAAAUAAUCAUCACCGACUUUGUUAAUUUCAUCGUUGUCUUUCUUCUCCUCUGCUGGCUGACCCUUCUUCUUUUGUAACUUAGGACAGAACUUCUUUGUAUGUCCUUUCUCAUGAUAGUAGUAGCACUCAAUAUUUGCAAAUCUAGCAGACUUGUUUCCGCUCCUACUUUUGCCUCCCUUUGAAAGACCUCGACUUUUGCUCCUCCCCCUGAACUCAGUGACUAAGACCUCUGAUUGUGAAGAUGAUGAACCUUGACUCUUUCUCCUCAUCUCCUCGUUCAGAACANN